rnacentral:rRNA from 1 species
AUGGGUCAGCAGUCCAAACGGACGCGCGCGCCGGCACCUCGUGAAGCCCCUCCACCAGCGCCUCUGCUCACCCCGCCGCCAGCGCAUCUCCUGGUCCCGCCGCCGGCGCAUCUGCUGGUCUCGCCGGCGCCUAAGUCCGCCCGGCCGCCGGGGAUCCCAUCGGCCUUCCCUUCAAAGCAGAGAACAAGCACUUGGAUCCCCCCAAGACCACAAGAGUCUCUGGCGGCUAGUCUGCAGCAACCAAGUGAAUCGGGUCCUACGGCUCAAGGUCCUUGUUGGGCACCGCCUGCCUGCAUCGGUGGCUCUACAUCACCUUGGUACAUGGCUGGCAAUAUGGACUACUCUGAUCCACAAGUAUGGGGAGUGGAUUCUCACCCACCUGGUGGUUACCUUAGUUACUUUCAGAACACGGCAGGCCCCACACAACCUAUGCACAAUGGGAGUUCACCGCAACCAGUCAAUGCUGGCGAUGACACAAAUGGUGGUGAUUGUGGAAGGACCGAAAAACGCUUGCUAUGGACAAAACAAGAAGAUCUUCGAUUGGUCAGUGCUUGGUUGAAUAAUUCCAAUGACCCAAUCCAAUCAAACUACAGGAAGAAUGAACAAUAUUGGAAAGAUGUUACUGCUGUCUACAAUAGUACCACCCCAAAAAACAGGGAACGACUAGUCAAGCAAGUGAAAGAUCGCUUUGGGAGAAUUAAGAAAAGGGUUGCAUGGUUUUGCGCGAGUUAUAAGGAGGCUAGUGCUUUGUAUGCUAGUGGUGAAUCUGAUGCAGAUUUAAAGAAGAGGGCAAUGCAAACUUAUGAGGAAGAUCACAAAAAAGAUGGUCCGUUUAUGUUUGAGCAUUGCUUGUUUGAGCAUUGCUGGGAGAUUCUUAAAAAGGAACCAAAAUGGGACGCGUAUUUGGAACGCCUAGAAGGUCUGGAGCCGGACAAGAGGAAGUUUAGUGUUGAUGAUGAAGUAGGGAAGCAUUCCACUAUAGAUGAUGAUGAUGAUGAAGAUGAACGUCCACCGGGUGGCAAGCAAGCUAAGGAGAAGCAGAAACGAAAAAGAAAGGAUGAAGUUUGUAUAAUAGAUCUUGAAGAUGGGCUUCAAAAGUUUGUAGAUGCCCAGAAUGCAGCAAAUGAAGGCCGCAAAGAGAUGUUAGAGACCCAAAGGCGUGUUUCUGCUGAGAAUCUUGAAGCACGGAAGCUUGCUCACCUUGCGGCAAAAGAUCACAAAGAGUCGGUCAUGCUAGAAACAUAUCGCUCAUUGGUGAUGCAAGACACAACCGGGAUGCCUGAAGAUGUGAGAUCUGAGCAUGUGUUGGCAUUGAAGUGUUUAAGGGAGAAGCUAUUUGGCAAAAUGGUCUAA